GGGGUGUGUUGGUGUGUUGGUGUAAGAGGAAUACAGGCCCUGCAGGGAUAAAUCCUGGGACAAGGAAGGAACAGAGAAGGCCCGACUGAUUUCAUGAAGGCCCAGGAGGAGUAACUCGUAUUACCCCAUCCCUACCGGUACCCAGGAACCCAGAUGGAGACUAACAGCCAGACAGAGAAGAGAGAAAAGAAGGGACAUUUACCUCUCAUUAAGACCUAAUGGAGUCAUGGAAUUCAAGGAGCUCCUAAGCCUGAAGAGGUGUUAGAGAUAUGCUUAAGGAAGCGUUUCGAAUAGCCCCGAGGGCCCAGAGCCUGGAAAAGGACCCGGGUAGCCACCUCCACAUCCUCCGCAAAGCAGGGUGAUGAGUAUUCAAGAGGUCCAAGAAUGCCUGAAAUUCUAAUUGGGAGCCACUCCAAAUGCCAAAAAUAUCAUCCAAAUACCUAAGCAGGCUCAGUUCCAAUAAUUGAAGAAUGGCUGCAUCUGGACGGGCUGAAUUUGGAUACAUCUCAAAGGUUUCCCUAACUGCCUGAUUCCGAACUACAGUCACUAACUAUGGGUCGACCGCUAGGGACCUGGAAAGGAAUAGACCAUUUCUCUGGAGGUUUAUGUAUCUUAGGUAGUAAGUAGAAUUGCCUGGGUCUAGGUGUAUCAGGACCAGACAGGUAAUCUAACUGUUUCUUUGUAAUAUACUUCCCUUGAUAUAGGUCUCUUAAGAUCUCCCGUAGUAAUACUUGUGUUUCUCCCUGAAUAGAAUGAGUUAAAGGAACAUAAUGCAUGGUAUUGGAGAGUUGUUUUUCCGCCUCCAAGAUAUAUUGUACUCUAUCCAGGAUAACCACCUGUGAGCCCUUAUCGGCUGGUUUAAUAACAAUACUGUCAUUAUUUUUCAGGUCCUUCAGAGCUCUAAGCUGUUCCUUGGUAAGAUUAGUCUGAUUGGAUGGUUUUGGUCUAAACCCAGCCAAUGCUCUUACAUCCUUCCGGAUAAGGUUCUGUAUACUUGGGGAGAUGGUUUCCAUUGCCGGGACCCAUGUAGAGGCUUUAGUGAACGAAAGCCUGUAAGAGGAGGAGAGGUUGGUGAUGUUGGAAUGGAGGGGAGUUGUAUCUGGACCCUGCUCCCCCCUUACAUGUUUAACUGAUCCAACCAAUGGUCCAGGAUCUCUGAAGCGGUCUCCUUGGUCCAGUGGACUGGAUCCCUUGGGUCGGUCUUGAAACGGAGUCUACUGAUAUCAGGUAAGUAUGAACAUUUAUUCAUUAUGGUAAGGUUUAGAGUUUUCAAAAGAUGCUGUUGUUCCCUAUCCAGACGAUCUGAAUAGCUAAUGAUAGGUACAAACACCUCUGCAUUGGGGAAUACUACUUCACAGGUCUUUAACAACUGUUGUAGCUGUUUCCAGGUGGUAGAAGUAACCUGUUUCCUAAGGCAGUUGUUAAGGCCAAAGGAUAACACUAACUUCUCUGUAGUGGGGUUGGGUUCCAUUACUUUUAGGACCUCCCGAAUAUGAUGGAAAGUAGCUCCAGGGAAGCUGUCAACCUGAACUCGGGGAUCUCGAAAGGAUGCCUAGUAGGUUCCGGGCGUGUGUCAGGAGCAGACUCUACAGAGUCUGCUCUUCCACUGC